rnacentral:lncRNA from 1 species
CUGGGGAAACUGUGCAGGCACUGCAUUGUUAGAAGUUACAAACAUUCUAACAAAAUGUAGAAGUUUUAGUAUCCUUGCAGUAAAGUAAACCAGUGUUUAUUCUGUAGGUUAUUUAGUUUUGACGACUUGUGUUCUUUGCACAGUUACUUUAUGUUGACCAGUGUUACAUGUUUUAUGUUAUAAAUUAUGGAACACAGUAACUUUUCAGUGUACUACACAGACUUCCAAAACCCUGUAAUGCAGCAAUUGAAAUGCCUUCCAAAAGAAUUGUGAAAUUUUAUUGUACAUAGUUUUUUUUUUCUUUUUUUUGACAAAGUUUGCAUUGUAUUUGCAAAAGUAUUCUUUGUAAAAAUUAUGUUGUACUGUAAGUACUGUAGUGAAGUUGACAUGUUAAUAAACUGCAUUAAUCACAAGUGGUGAAAUAUACCAUGCAAAUCAUUGUAUGGUAUUUUUUAUUGUCUAAUUUAUCAUAUAAAUUGUACUUUUUUAAUUAGAUCUCAUUCCACUAUAUAUUAUAUUGUAUGUUUUGUAAGAUUGUACAUAUUUUAUUAUUGUGUGGUCCAUUGGUUGCUAAUGCCUUGUAAUGAUACAAAAAAUGAAGAAAACAAAGAUUCAGAUGAAGGAAGAUCAUCAACAGGUUGAGUUCUGUAUUAAUCCUUGUACUAAUUCACAAAUGUUUUGUCUUGUGCACCAGUUCACUAAUGUCUCCUCCUUAUAGCUCUGUUGUGUGUCUCCUGAGAAUGCAGCUGUCUAGCAUUUAUCAGUUCCCAUGACGAGCAAUCCUGCCAUUUGUAUAGUGGAAUAGUGUAAUUUUUCUUCAUGUUCAACUAUGUGAUAUUUAGGGGAAAAAUUUCCUCUUACUAAUUGCAUAAGUUGAAAUAUGCUUUGUACAUAUAUGUAUGCAAGGCUGAUGUGGAAACUAGACUAGCUGAAAAUAUUGAAUGAGUGACAAAAACAAUGUUCUGUAUUUUUGGAUAACAAUAUAUAUUGGGAGCUAUAGUCAAUAAAUCUCUUUGUUGAAUUACACCC